GUCUGCCGGGUCACCCUGGCGCUGAACACACCUUCCGGGAAGCCUUUCUGACUCACAGUGAGGGCAUUAACGAGCCCUUUCUCUAGCUCCAUAACGCCCCUGCUGACUUGCAAAGAUUUGGUUACUUCUCUACAAAGCGUUUUCAUUGUCUCUGGAUGGUCUGGACUCAGGAACACACACUUCCCCUCCCUCACUGCUGCCACACAGUCAGGUGCCCCAUCUGAGCGAGCAGUCCGGCCUCCAAGGGGGUUGGUGCCCCUGGCACCCAGCCAGGCUGGUCAGCCUCAGCUUUGCAAAGCACUCUGUGGUCCGGCACAUCAUUGAAGUCCUCCAUCCAAGACCCCCGUCCAAGACGAGGCACAGAAGUCCAAGGACAGCAUGCUGGUGCCUGCCCCCUACCUCAGCACUGCCAUCCCCAGGGGGCCUGCAGUCCCGUGACACAGAAGGCGCCACAGCGUUCCAUAUGACAGCCAGCGGUUUGCAAAGCUCAGUUUUAUGGCCUGGGCAUCACCAGUGUCAGAAGAAGGGCAAAGGGACCCCAGCCCGGAAUCCUGCCUGUGACAGGCUCUCCUGAGCAACCGUGACUUCCAUCUAAGGAGGGUGCCAUGGGCAUUGGCAUUUGGUUGCUCUCCAUCUCGGGCCCCAGCUGGGAGGACGGUGGAAGGGUUUUUCAUCCACACAGACUGGGACGAGACCUUCACAGACUCCAGACCUCAGCCAGCUGUGGAAGGAGGAGCCUGGGCCCGCGAUGGCUCAGGAGAAACCUGGUGGCAGAGAGUCUGACCCCUCAGCAGGACACCGGGUAAGCUCAGGCAAGGCAAGGUGGCCACGCAGGCUGCAGGCAGGAGGGAGCGGAGGGCCCGGAGCUCAGGGAUGGACGGACAACCCGGCUCCCUGCGCGGCAGCCCCCGACACCCCCGCGAAGAUCCACGUGCCCAGAGUGAAGAAAGAGAAGCUACAGUGUAACAUUCUAGACUGAGCCACGUUGCCCGUCAAGGGUGGGGAGAAUAAAGGCGUGUCAGGACUGCCCACGUGCCUUCCAAAACGUUACAUAAGCACUUGCUGCGGUGAAACA
rnacentral:lncRNA from 1 species